rnacentral:rRNA from 1 species
AAUACGUUCCCGGACCUUGCACACACCGCCCGUCAAGCCAUGGGAGCCGGGUGUACCUAAAGUCGGUAACCGUGAGGAGCUGCCUAGGGUAAAAUCGGUGACUGGGGCU